rnacentral:rRNA from 1 species
UAGGGAAUCUUCGGCAAUGGACGCAAGUCUGACCGAGCAACGCCGCGUGAGUGAAGAAGGUUUUCGGAUCGUAAAACUCUGUUGUUAGAGAAGAACAAGGACGUUAGUAACUGAACGUCCCCUGACGGUAUCUAACCAGAAAGCCACGGCUAACUACGUGCCAGCAGCCGCGGUAAUACGUAGGUGGCAAGCGUUGUCCGGAUUUAUUGGGCGUAAAGCGAGCGCAGGCGGUUUCUUAAGUCUGAUGUGAAAGCCCCCGGCUCAACCGGGGAGGGGCAUUGGAAACUGGGAGACUUGAGUGCAGAAGAGGAGAGUGGAAUUCCAUGUGUAGCGGUGAAAUGCGUAGAUAUAUGGAGGAACACCAGUGGCGAAGGCGGCUCUCUGGUCUGUAACUGACGCUGAGGCUCGAAAGCGUGGGGAGCAAACAGG